GAUGUUGGGUUAAGUCCCGCAACGAGCGCAACCCUUUUCCUUAUUUGCCAGCGGGUUAAGCCGGGAACUUUAAGGAUACUGCCAGUGACAAACUGGAGGAAGGCGGGGACGACGUCAAGUCAUCAUGGCCCUUACGACCAGGGCUACACACGUGCUACAAUGGUAGGUACAGAGGGUUGCUACACAGCGAUGUGAUGCUAAUCUCAAAAAGCCUAUCGUAGUCCGGAUUGGAGUCUGCAACUCGACUCCAUGAAGUCGGAAUCGCUAGUAAUCGCGGAUCAGAAUGCCGCGGUGAAUACGUUCCCGGGCCUUGUACACACCGCCCGUCAAGCCAUGAAAGCCGGGGGUACCUGAAG
rnacentral:rRNA from 1 species